AGCUUUGCACAGUGGCAGUAUCACAGCCAGUGAGGUUUAUCUGAGGUGUGAUUAUUGCUAACUGGAAAGAAUGCCGCGACACUCAGGUUCACCUAGGCUUGAAAUGUGUACAGAGAAAGGAUUACACUGCUCAGGGACUGAUCUGCACUCUGUUUUGCUUUUCCAAUUUGGAAGAAUAUUAAUAUA
rnacentral:snRNA from 1 species